rnacentral:rRNA from 1 species
AUUGAACGCUGGCGGCAGGCCUAACACAUGCAAGUCGAGCGAGCGGCGGACGGGUGAGUAAUGUCUGGGAAACUGCCUGAUGGAGGGGGAUAACUCCUGGAAACGGUAGCUAAUACCGCAUACCAUCAGAUGUGCCCAGAUGGGAUUAGCUAGUCGGUGGGGUAACGGCUCACCUCGGCGACGCUCCCUCGCUGGUCUGAGAGGAUGACCAGCCACCAGGGAACGUAGAAACGGGCCAGACUCCUACGGGAGGCAGCAGUGGGGAAUAUUGCAGAAUGGGCGAAAGCCUGAGGCAGCCAUGCCGCGUGUGUGAAGAAGGCCUGCGGGUUGUAAAGCACUUUCAGCGGGGAGGCGGUACCCGCAGAAGAAGCACCGGCUAACUCCGUGCCAGCAGCCGCGGUAAUAC